UACGUAGGGUGCAAGCGUUGUCCGGAAUUAUUGGGCGUAAAGAGCUCGUAGGCGGUCUGUCGCGUCUGCUGUGAAAACUCAGGGCUUAACCCUGAGCUUGACAGUGGGUACGGGCAGACUAGAGUGCGGUAGGGGAGACUGGAAUUCCUGGUGUAGCGGUGAAAUGCGCAGAUAGUCAGGAGGAACACCGGUGGCGAAGGCGGGUCUCUGGACGGUGACUGACGC
rnacentral:rRNA from 1 species